UCAGGAAAUGAGAGGUCCUCAGGAGA
rnacentral:piRNA from 1 species